CCUGCUUUCCUGACCCUCUCCGCCAUUUAAAGAAACAGUACCGGGGGCGGGCCGAGCGACGCAGCCGGGACGGUAGCUGCGGUGCGGACCGGAGGAGCCAUCUUGUCUCGUCGCCGGGGAGUCAGGCCCCUAACUCGAAGAAGCCCUGGCGCGCCCUCCCCCCCUCCCGGGUCUGGUAGGGCGAAGGAACGGGCGUGCGGUCGAUCGAGCGAUCGGUUGGCGGCUCUUUCUCCUGCUCUGGCAUCCAGCUCUUGGGGCGCAGGCCCGGCCGCCGCGGCGCGCGCCCGGUGGCCGUUGGCGCUCGCGCCGCGUCUUUCUUCUCGUACGCAGAACUCGGGCGGCGGCCUAUGCGUUUGCGAUUCGACGAGGAGUCGUCCGGGUGGUCGGCGGCGGCGGGCAGCUGCUCCGCCCCGCUCCGGGGGAGGCGGCGGCGGCAGCGGCCGCGGGAUUUGGAGCGGCCGGGGAGGCGGGGGUGGCCGGGGCCGGCUUGGAGGCCUGGCGCCACCCUUCGGGGCCUGCAAGGACCCAGUUGGGGGGGCAGGAGGGGGCCGGAGGAUGGUUGGUUGUGGGAUUUCUACUUUGCCUUUUCCUUCUUAUGCCGCCUUAGUGAGGGGCGGGAGCUCUGGCGGCAGCCCCGGGGUGGGGAGACGAGCUCCGGAGUCGGAAGAGGUGGGUUUGCUUCCGGGCCUAGCCACCAGCUGGCGGAGUGACCUUAGGCGAGUCACUCUGUAAUUUUUCUGCGCCUCAGUUUCCUCCUCUGCCUAUCAAUGUGUGUGGGGUUGAAAGCGCUUUGUAAACUCUAAAGCGUGGAUGUACGUAAAGGAUGGUUAUUGUUUGUAUUUUUUUUUUGAGUUGUAAGAAAACUUAGCAGUUCCCCAAUCCUUGGGUUUUGAACCUGGAAACCUUGGAUUGGAGUUGGGGAUCCCCAAACUCCCUGAAAUUGUGGGAAUGUGUGGUUUGGGGGAAUGAUGGGAAUUUGUGGGAAUGUGCGUUUUAGGGGAAUGAUGAUCCAUCGCUAGCAAGUUUUCCAAGGGGGCUGUGACCCAGAAGAGUUAAAAAUCACAAUUUCUUUAUGCUACAGAGAGGAAACUGAGGCCUAGAUGUCAUUUGGGACCCUUCACAACCAAUUUGAAGCCCCUGUUUGAGUCCCUGGGAUAUGUGAGCUGUUUCUAUGCAUAAUGGAUAUUCGGGGUAACAACAGUCCCCUGCUUAGCUUCUAUUCUGAAUCCUUUUCUUUCACCAUGGGGUGCCUGAAGGGUGGCUGAUGCAUAUGGUACAAUGGCACCCAGUGUAAAGCAGCUGCAAUUAGGAGUGGAUGUGUUCUGUAGCAUCCUAUUUAAAUAAGCCUAUUUAAUCUUUGGCCCGGCAACUUUUUUCUGCUGCUUGUACCGGUGCCUGACUACCUUUCUGACUCUCAUUGACCAUAUUCCAUGACCAUGGUUGUCAUCCGUUACUUGAUCCUACUUUACGUGUCUAGUCUGUGUGGUUGGUGGUGAAUAGGCUUCUUUUCACAUGGUGCUGCCAAGCCCAGCUAAUUAAUGGUGCACGUGGACUUUUAGCAAGUGGGCUCACUGGAAGAGACUGUACCUGGCAUGGAAUUCCUGAAGAUGUUUGGGGUUUUUUUCUUUCUUAAUCGAAGGUUAACAUUCUCUGAAAAGUUUUGUUAGAACUACUGCGGAACCUCAAAAUCAGUAGAUUUGGAAGUGAUUCAAAGCUUAACUUUUUAACCUUGGCCCUCCUUGUGUUCUAAUUGCUUGCAAGUGUAAUACUAAGAUGUCCAAGAUGCUAGUUUUUGCUUCUUUGUUAAUUGUCAGCUGCUUUUAUCAAAUUUUAGGCCAUUAUCCAACAAACACUAUAAAAAUGUUUGAACAAUUGGAUUUCAAACAUUUUCGUUUUGUGGAGUGGUGCUCACCGAGUGGUACAGCCCUAAGCAAGUGAACACAAACACAUUUAAGUGUAUUUUGUCUGAUUAGAUGUUAGCCGGUUAUGCUAUUUCAUUCAAAUGUCUGAAAAAAUCAAUUGACUAUUCCCUUUUCCUAAAGGGCAGAGACAAAUAAUCUCACUUCCAGAGAAAUGACUGUUUUGGAGGAAAAAAGUGUUGGUCUUUUUGCUCUUUUGUAAUUAAAUCUGGAUGUACCUCAAAAAACUCUUAAGACUGUGGUGAUAAGAUGCUUUCCUCAGCAGAAAGGAGGAAAAAAAACAACUGGAACUCAAAGCUUGAAAUUCUGUGGCAAAACAUGAGAUGUCCAGGAUUGGAGGUUGAAAAGAUUUCACUACAGUGUUCUACAAUAGUUGGAGCAGAUAACUUUCAGUGUAGCCACAGCCGUGGACUCCAGAUUUCCAGAUUUUCAAGAACUGGACUUGGAACCCGAAAGAGCUUAUCGGGAUGUGGCAGGAACACUGGAGGUAGAUAUUUUUUUUAUUUUUGAAUUUUGGGACUGUUGACCUUGCUGUGAGAAAAGAGACAACGACUGAGCAAGCACUACCACCAGCACUGUUACUGGGAAUUAGAAGACCUGAGUUUCUGUCCAGACCCUCAGUGGAAACUGAGGACACUCCAUCCAAAGUGAAUUAUGUCCUGUGCCUCCUGAUUGCUGAGUGUUCACCUGGACCUUCUGACUACCUUCCCUGUGCUAUUCCAUCAGCCUACAGACCUGGUACCUGGAUUUUUGCCCAAGAUGAUUCCUACCACCUUACUACUGAAGAAGACACCCAUUCCAGUGGACCACUGUGACCCAGGAGGCAUUCAGCCAUCAUGAUGUGGCCUUUACCUCCACUCCUGUCCUGUUCUACCCAGAUUCAGCACAGCCCUUUAUAGUGAAGUCAGAGUCCUCAAGCCAAAUAGCUAAAGCUGUUUUAUCACAACAAAGGCCUAGUUUGUUCCAUGAGUGUGCAUUUCAUUUCUUCAGUUAAAGCCUUCAGAGACACAUAAUAAAUUUGGACCAGGGGAUUUUUUAGUUAUUAAUGCUCUCUGAAGAAAGGGAACAUCUUUUUGAGAGCAGCAUUGGACCAUACCCCACAAUCUCAAAUGAUUGAAAUUCAUGAACAUCUAGGAUCCCAUGAAGGUCACUGGACCCUGUUUUUUCUACUUCAAAUCCUGUAGUAGCCUACUGAAUGAGAAAACAUAUUCUGACCCAUUGGGAUCAAAUCAAAGGCACAGUGAACUCCUCAUAGCAUCUUCUUUGGAAUUACUCAGGAACCAGAACUUUUUACACAAAUGUAAGAAAUUCUACCAAGGAGUCCCCUUACCUAAGCAUCUCACAAGGCUGCAUCAGAUUCCAGAAAAGGCUUCUCUUGAUACAUCAAGGUAGAACCUCUAUGCAUUUUGUGACCGACAUAUUCUUAGAUCAUUGGUUUUCCAAAGGCUUUGUGGCCAUGAAGCCCUUUGAGUGAAAACUGCAGAAGCCCAGAGUAAAAGUGAAGCUGCUCUGGAUGAAGCAGUGAAGCAAGAGUAGGGGCCUGAAGCCUGCUACAACUAUCUAUCUUCCUUUACCACCGUGGUGACACCUAAGGGGACUUCCUUACAACAGCUUGAACUCUCCAGAACACAGUUUGAAAACCACUGCCCCAGACAGCAAUAUGUUUGACCUGAAUGGCAUUCCAAUCUUUUCUGUACCUCCACUCAGCACAGUUCAUGUUCAGUUGAUGCUGAACAUUCUUAGAAAUACUGUGUGUGAACUUAGAAAAGUGCAAGAAGACAGGCAUGUCUUUGACCCCAGGAAUGAUCAUGGGCUGAAAGUGGUGUCAAGUGAACCUAGAUUAACAGCCCUCCACUCCAGAUGGAUAUCCAGUGAUUCCUAGAAUGGGAUAUAGCCAGAGAACAAUUCUAUGCACCCUACACUGACAGACUCCCUUAAGCAACUUCUUUCACAAACACCAGAUGCUCUACUGGUACUUGAAGUACAUGACUUUGAAGUCUUGACCCUCCAUGGAUACCUGAAUUGCCAGCAAGCGGGUUUUGAAGCUGGUGCCUCAUUGAGGGCAUAUUAGAGCAACUUGUACAUUUGACCUCUUGUUGUCAGCCAUGGUACUCUACUUCGUGUACAAGAGAUAACUAUGAAAGCCGAAUUCAAAUACUGGCAACAUUUCCUAAAGGGGCUCAAUAUCUAUCAUCAUCUUUUCCAAACUACACAUCACUGUAUGACUCAACCAGUAGCAGUUAUAUUGCCCCUUGGUUUUUAUUCAGUUUAACUACUGUUUCCAAGAUAAAUGAGCUAAUAACCUUAAAAAAAAAAAAAAAAAACAAUUAUUUUUUCUUCAUCACUGGCAUAUCUGCCUAUUCUCCAGAAUUUUUAUGACUACUCAGCUCACUUUUAACAGUUGAUCUUCAAGAGACAAUCUUUGAACACCCCCCCCCCCCAUGUGAUUUAAAGUGAAACCAUUUGGAAAAGUUUCUUCUAGCCAAUAAUAGAUUUUUUUUAAUUGCUCUGCCUUGUGCCGAGAGAUGUUCUUUUAAGAUGAAUCUUUUGAUGUCUGAUACCACCAACUGUAGGUGGUAGGGAUAGUUGGAGGCUGGCCCUUUGAGCAGGCCAUGAUAGCUUACUUGCUGGGCAUUUCAGAUAGCUUAUUGCCUACCCUUUUGCUGGAAACAGACUGAUUUGAAAAACAAAAUCUAUGAAGACUGCAGCUAAGGAUUUUAUCAGUAGACUUAAGAGCUUUUGUCCUUGUGGAUAUUUUAGUGGAACCACAACAGUCUUAAUACUGUCAUUUUACACUGACUCAGAGCAGCUGACGUCAUUCCUUGCCAUGAUAUAUAUUUAAGGCAGGCAUUGUAACAGACAUUAAGACAACUUAUCUGUUUCAGCAGGAAGGAUUCAGUUUAUGGACUCUCAGACCGGAUCAUGUUGAACAAGGAGAUUUUGAUAUGUGUCAUGAGAAAACUCAUCCUUUACUUCCCAGUCAAUUUAAAGGCCAGCUAUCCUGAGCUACUCGAAUGAAUGCACUGGUUAAACAUUGGGGAUAGUUUAUAUCCUCUCUCUCUAGGCCAGUUGUGAUUACAUGACUCCACUCUAUAUCUUGUCAAACAAGGCCUAAGUCUGGUUGCUGUAGACUGCUCACCCUCAACAAAUAAAAUCUGGAUGACUAGCCUGCUUGUAUAUACAAAUAUUAUUUGUUAAGAAGAAAUUAUCUUCAAUUUUCUACUAUCUUCAAAUUGUCAGCUUUUUUCCUCUCUCAUUUUUCCUAUGCUUUACAGAAAAAGACAUUGAUCUAUACUGCCAAUCCCUCUAAUCCUGCCAACUCAUUCAAAAUGAAUGACUUAAGAUGAAGAUGAUCAUCUGCUCAAGAGUCUAAAAUAUACAUUGUAUAUAAGAAUUGGUGAUUAGAAAAGCAAAAAACCUAAAACUUAAACCUAGGAGUUUGCCUACUAUCUCCAUGUCUCCAUGCUUCAGAUCUCAUCUGAAUCUUUGAACAGCACCAUUCAACCAAUCUGAGGCCUUGGCUUGCUUGUAAGAUGAUUCUCAGAGAUCGGCUGAGUUAAAAAAGAUGACGACUUGAUUACCAAAGAAAGUAGGGCCAACUUUGACAAACCUGGCUCUGCUGACCCUGUCAUUCCCAGAUGUAGCAUAGACUCCUAAACAGAACCUCAAGUCUGAUUGAGGAUAAGGCCUUCUCCUGAGCUGAAAGUUCUUUGGCAGAUGAGCAAGAAACUGAAAGCUGAUAUACCUGACUGGCUCUGUAAGAUCAGAAAACUGUAUCCAGAAUAAGCCCUAUGGAUUAACCCCUGAGUACCCAGGGUAAAAACUAAUUUACAGAGCUUCCUUGUUGAUCUGCCUGUUCUUCCAGAUCAUAUUCUGGCUAUUGGUAUGGCUGGCCUUUCUGAAGCUGCCCUGCUUGUCUAUUUUCGUGACUCAGCUCUUGCCUGCCCUUUUCACAUGUUGCUGCAGUUAGACUCACUGACCUUGAGAAGACUACAGCCAAUUUUAGUCUAUCUUGUGCCCAAUACAACAAGGAUUUUUAAUAGAAACAACCCACACCUCACCUGCUAGGACUCAGUGUUCACAACAGGAAGGACCAUGUUGUAUACUACUUGACCAGCAGCUUUUUUAAAGAUAUUUUUAAGUGCAGAGUUAGCCUCUAUUCCUGUAUGUAUUUGAUCAUUUUCAGCACCUGGAACCUCAUCUAUCAGGUCUAGAAGGAAUACAGCAGAUCGAAAGCUGUGUCCAUUUCUCUUCUUCAGUAGUACAGAAAUAAGUCUGAUUCACCAGUACACACAGAACUGUACCAGUUCAGCCUGGCAAAAGAACAGUUUCUACUGUACUUAAAAUUUACCACCGACUCAAAUUGCCUCACAGAAUUAUUUGAUAUAGGAGGCUAGUUGUCUUGCUUCACAUCAGCAGGACAGUUGGACUCUCAGACUCAUGACCACUGAGUUUACUUGUAUUGAAACUGUGGUUUCAUCUGAAGUAUGCUAUUGGACUUGAUUAUUAUCUCAUUCAAAUGGAUUACAGACUUACUGAGGACAGGACAAACUUAUCUCUCAUGGUGUUUUUUUAGAAUACUUUUAUAACCAAGGAAGAAACCAUGCCAGCUGUUACCAUUCAACUUCUUAAGCAGAGAUUAAGCUUUUUCAUAUGUGUUCUUAUCCUAGACAUUUUCAUAUCUGUUCUUAUCCUGGACAUCAGUAGUUUUUAAUUGCCCAGCAUCCGUUCCAUCUCAUUGUAACAACUCCCUGAUGUUUCUUAAAACCACCUCUUCCUAUUUUCAGUCUGUGGUUUGGACAGUCUGACCCAACCUUGAGCUUUGUGGGUGGACGUGUAAUUCAGACCUCAUCAAUCAGCAAAUCCAUCUGAACUGUGGAGGAGAAGCUCUCUUUACUGAGGUGCUUUAGCUUUGUAGGAUGAAAACCUCAAACCAACAGGGCCUGCCAUGUAGAGAAUGAAGCCAGUGCAGGGGAAAGUAGAGCCAAAAUAUGGAGAGACUUGAAUCCUGAUGACAACGUUUGUGCCCCUGGAUCCAACCGUGCCUGAAGCUAGUAUAUCCCCUGGACUUUUCAGUUAUGUGAACCAAUAAAUACCCUUUUUUGCUUAAGUUA